CCAUGUUCCGUUCCUAAGAACCGUUCAGCCCCUUGGGGAAGACGCUGCCGGGGACAGCUGGGGGGCUGGCCACCCAGGCACCGAGACCAUAGGGCGCUCCUCGCUACCUCCCCAGUGGCGAAUACUACUUGAAGAGAACAGGGAAUGUAACUUGGUGAAUAACACGUGCCAAUGCCCGGCCCAUCGCUAGUCCUCCAGAAAUACCCGCCAGCCAGCCAGUCACCCGGACAGACAAAGGCGCACAUCUCUUUAUGUCAUAGGCUGGCUUUGAGGACGAUUGGGAAAGAAAAUAUUACAUAAACCCUGGGGUGAGCAAGGAUCUACCAGCGCCCUCCCCACGAGGCCAGUGAGGUCAUCCUGAGCUGAAGGAUUCUUCGGUUGAGAACUGCCAAAGUUCUUCUGGGACCUGGUGUGUCUUCCCCCCUGUGUGGGAAGCCAUGCCCCCCAUGUGCCCAGUGCCUCCCCCAAAUUGGAUUUCAACACUUCCCUGGAAAACAAGCUGAAAAGGAAAAACAUAAGGCAUUUCUCCUACUUCCUUUAAAGAAUUCACUUCAGAAUGAAUUCCAUAAGCAGCACCUGACAGCCUGAUAGAACGAGACCAGUCUUCACUGGAGGGGCUAAUCCUGCCUUUUGCCAAGACAGAUGAAGGAUGGUGGCUUUUUAGGCCUUUCUUCAACCUGUAUUUAAGUAAUUAAUUAUAUGUGUCAGGCACCAGGCUAUGCACGGGGUGUAAAUCAGCAAGACUAGGCUUCCAGGUAAGUGAAUUUGUUGUGAAUGCCUUUUUAUAUCCAGGUCUUGAAGGGUGAAUAAACACACUAGCCAACAUCCAGCAUGUGAUCUGGAAACCCACCAUUUGUCAGCCUACUCAUUUCUUACUCUAGGCUUAGGAGGGAGCGCCCAACACAGCCUGAUCCUCAUGGUACCCUGGAGUCUAGCACUGUACCUGCAUCCGGAGCAGAACCAGUCAGAAUCCUUCCCCAAGACUGAUGUCAGACUCAGGAGACAGGCCUCCCUUACAUGGCCAAGCCUUUGGAGCUGGGACGUCACAGGUCUAGCGCUGUGAAAAGCCACUUUCCCCAGCUCCAUGGGGUGGGUUGCGGUCUGAUAAAGUGGGUGAGAAUAUGGCCAGUCUAGCUGGAGAGGCCAAGCAACUUCCCUGAACCCUGGUCUCUGCCUGAAGCCAGGACCAGCCCCACACUUGUCCCAGCUACACAGGACAAUGAUGUCAGUCUAUUUUCUGCUAGUUGAGCUGGUUUCCUGGCACUUGCAUGGGGAGUCCUUUGUCCUGCAUGUCCUGUGUGAGGAUGAAAGCGGGAGGGGUGGAGGAGAUGGAGAGAGGAAGUGGGAUGGGCUUGGAGACUUCUCUUGGUGCCAACUGCUGCAAAAGCUCAAAAACUCUGCUCAACAGAGAGAGCAACUGGAGAAAGAUGGAAGGGACCAGCCAGGGUCCCCAUGGGGCUGUCCGCAAAUGAUAGCCCUGGUCCCAAGGGGAAGUCCAGGACACAGAGGUGGGACUCAUUGGCAGGGAUGCCUGGAGGAAAUGACCUGGGACAGGUGUUGUGGAAGACCUGCCUUCUUCCCCUUCUUAUUCUUGGAGAGUUGCCAAGGAAACUCUGGGUGUUUAUCUUGAUAAGAAAAAAAGAAACAGGGGCACCUGGGUGGCUCAGUCAGUUAAGUGUCUGCUUUUGGCUCAGGUAAUGAUCUCAGGGUUCUGGGAUCGAGCCCCACAUCAGGCUUCGGUGCUCAGCGGGAGUCUGCUUCUCCCUCUGCCCCUCCUCACCUCAUGCUCUCUCUCUCUCUCCCAAAUAAACAAAAUCUUUAAAAAAAAAAAAGAAAUAAAGAAAGAAAAAGAAAAGAAAAUACAUCCUGCAGCUCCAAGGGGAGAAAAGGCCAUCAAAGCUUGCUCUGUCCAAAGGCCAACUGGUGGACAUUCAAUGGCUGAUGGACAGUGGUCAGCUGGGGCCAGGUCACCUUGUCCACCGAACACGCAUGUAAGGAAGGAAGAGAAGCGGGAGAUGGCAGAAAACACAAAUGUUGGGCGCCCCCACAUUAAUAGCCCGAGGUGGGAACCCAAAUGUCCACCAACAGAUCAUGAAUUGUUAAAAAGUGGUAUGUCCACUUAUUCAGCCAGAAAAAGGAAUUGGCAAUACCGAUAAAACAAGCACUGCAAAAACACCAGGCUGAGUCAAACAAGCUAGAGGCCCAGAGUCACAUAUUAUCUAAUUCUGCCCACGUGAAAUGUCCAGAACAGGGAAAUCCACAGAGAUAGGAUGCAGAUUGGCCGUGGCUGGGGGCUGGUCGGAAGGGGAAUGAGAAGGGACUAGCGACCGAGUGUGGGGUUUCCUUUCAGGGUGACGAAAAUGUUACAGGUGGUGGUUGCGCAACAUUGUGAAUAUGCUAAACGCCACUGACCUCACCACUUGAAAAUGGUCAAUUAUGUAUUAUGUGACUUUCACCUCAAUUUAAAUUUUUUUUUUUUUUAAAGGCAGAGCUUAAAAACAGGGCAACUCCAGGAAAGCCAAGGGGCAGGAGAGAGUCAGAGACCUCCCACAGCCCCUCCUGUUACUGCUUAAUUAGGACCUGUCCCAGAGCUCUUGCUCGUUGACUUAGAGAAGGCUCACCUCAAGUUCAAAGGCCGGGGCAGGCCCUUCAGGACAGCCUGAAGGCCUGGCAGCCGCCCCACACAGAAGCUCCCAGCAGCAGGGGAGAACAAGUCAAGGGCAAGGCACAAGGGCAGAGUGGGCAGAGCAGCUGAAGAGCUGCUGCUGCUAGGAGGUCUCAAAGGCAGACCUCCUGAGCAAGGGUCUGCCCAAGGCUAGUGAUCGGGAAGGGAGGGGACGCACCAAGAUUUCUUGCGCAGCCAGAUGACAGGGACCAGCAGGAAGCCCGGGGAAGCACAGGUGAGGACAACUGAA